rnacentral:rRNA from 1 species
GGCUUAGAGUUUGAUCCUGGCUCAGAUUGAACGCUGGCGGCAUGCUUUACACAUGCAAGUCGAACGGCAGCGGGGGCUUCGGCCUGCCGGCGAGUGGCGAACGGGUGAGUAAUGCAUCGGAACGUACCCAGUCAUGGGGGAUAACUACGCGAAAGCGUAGCUAAUACCGCAUACGCCCUGAGGGGGAAAGCGGGGGAUCGCAAGACCUCGCGUGAUUGGAGCGGCCGAUGUCGGAUUAGCUAGUUGGUGGGGUAAAGGCCUACCAAGGCGACGAUCCGUAGCGGGUCUGAGAGGAUGAUCCGCCACACUGGGACUGAGACACGGCCCAGACUCCUACGGGAGGCAGCAGUGGGGAAUUUUGGACAAUGGGGGCGACCCUGAUCCAGCCAUGCCGCGUGAGUGAAGAAGGCCUUCGGGUUGUAAAGCUCUUUCAGACGGAAAGAAAACGCCUCCCCUAAUACAAGNAGGUGGAUGACGGUACUGUCAG